ensembl:lncRNA
UGCAGAAAUCAAGACAGUUGUCGAGCGGCCUCCUUUGGCCCUCACUCCUGUGUCCUUCCCAGAGGGACAAGCGAGUCGUGGUUUCACCUCUGGUCUUCGGAGCUGGACGACAAGGUCCCAGAGUCACCUCAGGAGCGAGUCGCAGCCUUGUUUCUCCUCAGAUCCCUCUAGAAGGGCGCCGCUGGGGCAUCACGCCGUCAGGGGGUGAAUCUCGUCGUCACAGCUCUUAGGGCUGUUCCGCGGGUGCUGUGAGGACCGGCUGCAGAGCACAGAGCAGAGGGCCUGGCGGGCAGGGGGCCGGUGGUGGGCGAGCCUCCAGCACCACUGUCCCCGGCAUGGGGCCCCUGCGCCCUCCCAUCCACGAGUGGAGCGGGGGGCUCUUCCCAGACACCCUGGCCCUGGCCGCCCCUGCGUCAGCCCCUCCCAGGUUUCCGUGGCCCCCUCAGCUAGCGAGCACUGACUGUGUGCAUCUCUUCCCAACUUGAGGUAGAGUGGGGGGCACACACGGCCCCAGAGGCCCCAGAGGCUGCGGGUGAGCCCCAAGGGAAGCAGACGCUGUCCCCUCGUCCUGUCUACCUUGGGUGGAACAGGAGGGCCUUGGCUGUGAGCACGGGUUACAAGAUCAAAAUCACAGGGCUGCCUUCACAGUGUGUAAACCACGGUCAGGGGCUUGGUUUGGGCCUCAGUUUCCACAUCUGUGAAAUGGGGAGGAGAGAGCUAAUUUGCAUGUUAAAGCAAUGCGAGAUGUGGUUUGAUGAGCACUUUGUAGCACAUAGUAGGUCCUCAAAUUUGCUGUCAGACUGUCUGCCACAGAGCCGGGGGCCCUUGUUGGGCCCAGGCACUGGAGGCACGCGGGCCCUCUUGAGGCUCCACCUGGGGAGGCCCAGGCUUGUCUCCAGGGAGCAAAGCGGAUACUGACGCAGCCCCCUCCGCCCCAGCCUGGGAACCACAGCAUUCUGGGACGUGGGGACUGCGCCAGGACGGGCCGCCAGCUCCCUCUGCUUCUCGUUAGGACUUGUCACCUCCCCCGCCCGGCCCCUCCCUGUUGGGCAGCAGCACUCCUCACCGUCCUUCUGGGACCAUCACGGCCCAGAAAGUCCUGUCAGCUCAGCAGGGUCAAGCCAGGGAAGCUGCGCCUUCCAGAAAGGAGGGGGAAGAGGCCGAGCCUGGACUCUGGACCCGUGAGCCAGGCCCGAGCUGAGCCGCAGAUGCUGUCCAGCCACCUGAACCAGGUGGCCUGUGAGCCUUCCAUCUGUGAGCAGAGACCGGGUCAGAAGUCUCUCCCGCAGGCAGGUACCUGCACGGUGGCCGGCGCUGGGCAGGGUGUGUGAACGGUGCUGAGCGGUGCCCCUGGGGACGCGGGACGUCACGCACCUGGGCGAGUCGGCUGCUCCCUUCCUUCUCACCGCACCGUGUCAGCCCAGCUGAGGCCCGGAGUCUUCCCGGGGCAGCUCCCGGGCUCUGACAGCCGAGGCGAGAGGCGGCUUUGUCGUCCAGGCCGCGAACACAGGCCCCGAGGUCCUGCUGAAGUGGACUAGGAGUUCUGGUCCCUUUGUCCGGACGUAGGAGGCUCGGAGUCUGCGUGCACGUGGCGUCAGCGAGCGGCUGGAGGAGGCUCCCUGGCGAGCUGGGAGGGAGCCACCGUGCCUCCCGUCUUCCCGGGACUUGGACUGCACAGGCGUGCCCGCUGCACUGCGUGUUCGAGACCAGCCAUGACCAUCCUCGGAGCUUCACGGGAAGCGCGUGCCGGGACCACUUUCCUCAGAGGAGCUGUGUGGACCUGCUCCUCGGCCUGCCUGUCGCACAUCCUUACAGCCCUCAGGGACAGAUAUUAUUAUCCCCAUCUUACAGGUGCCGGCGCCAUGCCGAGUAAUUUACCUGCUUCCUCUCUCAAUCCACGUAACCACCCCACGAGAUGGACACAUUGUUAUCCCAUUUCACAGAUAAGAAAGUUGAGGCCCAGAGAGCGAAGGAAACAUACACGAAGGCCUUGCCGGCCCCUGGACUGGGGCGACCCGUGGUUUGUGGAGGUCUUCGCCUGCAUGGUCCUUUGUCAGGAGGUCAGCUCAGAGCUCAGCCCUGCAGGUGGUAUGUCCCCCGUCCUGCGAGUGCAUUUGCAUGUGGUGAGGGAUAUGCUGUGCCCAAGCUUUGCCCCCCAGAGACCCAGAGGUAUCCCACCAAGGCCAAAGGGACGCUGUCCCCAGCCCUGCCGAGGCCAGGAACUCCAGGGAAGCUGUCGGCCGCAGAGCAUCAAGGAGCAGUGCAGGUCGUUUGGAGGGUUCGUCUUCUGAACCAGGAGCAGGGGCGCGGCUGCUCUGGGGUGUCCCCUCUGAGCUGGACACUCAGACGUGUGAUGCAUUACGUCACAUCACAGGCUGGCUACCUCUAGAUCGUGUCGUUCAUAUUCGAGGUCAGAGAGUUUUUGUAUGCCGGUGACUGUCACUUCCCGGGAAAUGGCGGUAAAGCGUCUUGAGGAAUGGGAAGCGUUUUCUAACUUCACCAACACACGCUUCAGGCUAGAAGCGGGGAGGUCAGGCAAUUGUUGUCGCAGCUCUGUGAGAUGCAGAUUAAAAGCUCCAUUGUACAGAUAGGGAAACUGAGGCUCAGAGAGUUUACCAAGCUUGACAGAACCAGGAUUUGGACCCAGGUCUUACCAGAGGAGUCUAUGCUCCUUCUCUGCGCCAAGCCUUCCUCCAUGGCCUCGUGUCACGGCCUGGGGAGAGGGGCCACAGUGAGAAAUCUAGAAACAAAACGAAAGACGUUCUUAAGACGUCAGACCAGGUGUGUGCGUCUGCCUCCCUCUCUGUUCCCGGUCCCACUGAAAUGACAGCAGAGAGGCACAAGGAGAAAAACUCAAAAAGCUGUUCAGGCCUGAACAGGGCCUACAAACCACUGAAGCUCCUGGAAAGUUUCUGGGGGACAAAUAGCUGGGAGCAGAGGGGGCCCCAGCUGAUGGAACUGGCUAAAGGAAGACUCGAGACGCUAGGGGAACCACCUGCAGGGCCGCCCAGGGUUUGCGGGUGUGGAGCGUGCGGUGAGAAGAGGCAGAGAGAACAGGAGCUGAGCUUGAGUCCUAUUUGCAGGUGAGCCGAGCCUGGUGGCGGAGAACGGCUAUCUAGUCCUCUGUAGACGCCAGGUCUUCUGGGG